GGUGGCUCAGUGUUAGAGUGCUUGCCUUGCAAGCAUGAGGCCCUGGGUUCGAUUCCUCAGCACCA
rnacentral:tRNA from 1 species